rnacentral:rRNA from 1 species
AAAACUGACUGCUUAUUGCACCACAUGUGUUUUUCUUUGAAACAAACUUGCUUUGGCGGUGGGCCCAGCCUGCCGCCAGAGGUCUAAACUUACAACCAAUUUUUUAUCAACUUGUCACACCAGAUUAUUACUAAUAGUCAAAACUUUCAACAACGGAUCUCUUGGUUCUCGCAUCGAUGAAGAACGCAGCGAAAUGCGAUACGUAAUAUGAAUUGCAGAUAUUCGUGAAUCAUCGAAUCUUUGAACGCACAUUGCGCCCUCUGGUAUUCCGGAGGGCAUGCCUGUUUGAGCGUCGUUUCUCCCUCAAACCGCUGGGUUUGGUGUUGAGCAAUACGACUUGGGUUUGCUUGAAAGACGGUAGUGGUAAGGCGGGAUCGCUUUGACAAUGGCUUAGGUCUAACCAAAAACAUUGCUUGCGGCGGUAACGUCCACCACGUAUAUCUUCAAACUUUGACCUCAAAUCAGGUAGGACUACCCGCUGAACUUAAGCAUAUCAAAAGACGGAGGAA